rnacentral:rRNA from 1 species
UACGUAGGGUCCAAGCGUUGUCCGGAAUUAUUGGGCGUAAAGAGCUCGUAGGCGGUCUGUCGCGUCGGCUGUGAAAACCCGAGGCUCAACCUCGGGCCUGCAGUCGAUACGGGCAAACUAGAGUACUGCAGGGGAGACUGGAAUUCCUGGUGUAGCGGUGAAAUGCGCAGAUAUCAGGAGGAACACCGGUGGCGAAGGCGGGUCUCUGGGCAGUAACUGACGCUGAGGAGCGAAAGCGUGGGGAGCGAACAGG